rnacentral:lncRNA from 1 species
GGCGUGUCCGGGGAAAAGGGGAGGGAUGAAUCGGAAAGGAAGGAUGUCGUGGGAGGCUGGAGGAGCUGGGAGGGAGCCGAGGCGGGGCGGGGGCGGAGCGGGGGGCGUGGCGGAACGGGCGCGCUGUCACGUGACGUGCGUGGCGACGUGUCGGCCAUCUUGUGUUGUUGAGGCUGAGACUGACUUGGGUUCUGAGAGACACCCUGUCCCGGACCGCAGUGUUAAAAGGACCUGAACAAAGUCUGCUCAAACCUCUUGCUGUGAACCAGCAGAACUUUUGGACAGGUUUCUCCACAUUUAAAAAUCUG